GUGCCGCUGCAGCUGGUAAAACGGAACCAAAUCGUUCGCAGAUGGGAUUUGGUCCCCUUCAACCAGCUGCAGAGGCCA
rnacentral:miRNA from 1 species